rnacentral:rRNA from 1 species
CCUACGGGGGGCAGCAGUGAGGAAUAUUGGUCAAUGGACGAGAGUCUGAACCAGCCAAGUAGCGUGAAGGAUGACUGCCCUAUGGGUUGUAAACUUCUUUUAUAUGGGAAUAAAAUGUUCCACGUGUGGGAUUUUGUAUGUACCAUAUGAAUAAGGAUCGGCUAACUACGUGCCAGCAGCCGCGGUAAUACGGAGGAUCCGAGCGUUAUCCGGAUUUAUUGGGUUUAAAGGGAGCGUAGGUGGAUUGUUAAGUCAGUUGUGAAAGUUUGCGGCUCAACCGUAAAAUUGCAGUUGAAACUGGCAGUCUUGAGGACAGUAGAGGUGGGCGGAAUUCGUGGUGUAGCGGUGAAAUGCUUAGAUAUCACGAAGAACUCCGAUUGCGAAGGCAGUUCACUGGACUGCAACUGACACUGAGGCUCGAAAGUGUGGGUAUCAAACAGGAUUAGAUACCCUUGUAGUC